rnacentral:rRNA from 1 species
GGUUCGAUUCUGGGGCUCGACGAACGCUGGCGGGAUGCUUUACGUUACGCAAGUCGAACGGCAGCACGGACUUCGGUCUGUGGCGGGGCGAGUGGCGAACGGUGAGUAAUGUAUCGGAACGUGCCGCAGAUGUGGAGUUAACUACGCGAAAGCGUAGCUAAUACCGCAUAACGUUCUGGGGGAAAGCGGGGAUCUUCGGGCCCUGGCACUCAUUAGAGCGGCUGAUAUUGAUUAGCUAUGUUGGUGGGGUAACGGCUCACCAAGGCGACGAUCCGUAGCUGGUUUGAGAGGACGACCAGCCACACUGGACUGAGACACGGCCCAGACUCUACGGGAGGCAGUGGGGAAUUUUGACACGGGGGGAAACCCUGAUCCAGCCAUCCCGCGUGCGAUGGCAGCCUCGGGUUGUAAAGCACUUUGCAGGAAAGAAACGGCACGGGAUAAUACCCCGUGCAACUGACGGUACCUGCAGAAUAAGCACCGGCUAACUACGUGCCAGCAGCUGCGUGUAAUACGGUGGGAAAAGAACGGAAUUAUCGGCGUAAAGCGUGCGCAGGCGGUUCGAAAAGAAAGAUGUGAAAUCCCAGAGCUUAACUUUGGAACUGCAUUUUUUAAUUACCGAGCUAGAGUGUCGAGGGAGGUGAAUUCGCGUGCAGCAGUGAAAAUGCGUAGAUAUGCGGAGGAACACCGAUGGUUAAAGGCAGCCUCCUGGAUAACACUGACGCUCAUGCACGAAAAAGCGCGGGGAGCAAACAGGAUUAGACACCCUGGUAGUCCACGCCUCUAAACGAUGUCAACUAGCUGUUGGGGCCUUCGGCCUUGUAGCGCAGCUAACGCGGAAGUUGACCGCCUGGGGAGUACGGUCGCAAGAUUAAACUCAAAGGAAUUGAUGGGGUUCCGCACAAGCGGUGGGAUGAUGGAUUAAUUCGAUGCAACGCGAAAAACCUUACCUACCUGACAUGUCUGGAAUCCCGAAGAGAUUUGGGAGUGCUGCAAGAGAACCGGAACACAGGUGCUGCAUGGCUGUCGUCAGCUCGUGUCGAGAUGUUGGGUUAAGUCCCGCAACGAGCGCAACCCUUGGUCAUUAGUUGCUACGAAAGGGCACUCUAAUGAGACUGCUCGGUGACAAACCGGAGGAAGGUGGGGAUGACGUCGGGUCCUCAUGGCCCUUAUGGGUAGCUUCACACGUCAUACAAUGGUCGGGACAGAGGGUCGCCAACCCGCGAGGGGGAGCCAAUCCCAGAAACCCGAUCGUAGUCCGGAUCGCAGUUCGCAAUCGACUGGUGUAAAGCUGGAAUCGUUAGCAAUCGCGGAUCAGCAUGUCGCGGUGAAUACGUUCUCGGGUCUUGUACACACCGCCCGUCACACCAUGGGAGUGGGUUUUACCAGAAGUAGUUAGCCUAACCGUAAGGAGUGGCGAUUAACACGGUAGGAUUCAUGACUGGGGUGUAGUCGUAACAAGGCAG